CGGCUGCGAGGAGGAGAGGGGGAGAGCGGGGCCGAGCCCCAUGGGUGCACAUCCCACGGGCAGCUGAGGGAAUAACUCAGAAAGACUUUGGCCCGAGCUCUCGGCACCUCGCUUCGGAUGCCUUUUGUGUUGCACAGCUGCAGGUGUCUCCCCAAAACCCUGCAGCUGGCGUGGAGCUCAACCAGAUGACUUAUGAGAAGUGAUUUUUACUGAUUUCUUCUUCUUUUCCUUUUUCAUUUAUUUUUUAAACACCCUGAACUGCCUCAAAGGCAUAUGCUGUCAUUUGGGGGUUGCUUGUCUGCGAGGUAGUAUCUCACUCCCAGUGACCAGCAGAGGAAAAAAUCAUUGGAUUCACUAGGGGCAGUGACUCCCUAGAGGACAGAGAUAGGAAGAGAUGUCUAAAGGUGCCACACAAAGCUGAAAGACCUCCUCCAGCGACCUUGCAUUGCGGUUGUGCCAAUAAAAGUCUCUCCUACAUGAACACUUUUUCCCCCAGAGCAGAGGAGAAGUGGGACUGGGGUGCAUCCCUGCCCUCAAUCUCUCCCCAAGCUGGGAGAUUUGCACAGCUGCACCCUCACUGGCAGGACUUCAAGGUGAUGAUCCUCAUUCAAGAGUGCAGCAAUUCACGAAGGACUCUCACAUCCAGCUCAGAAGUUCCUGUGCAUGGUACAGCACACUGGACACAGAAAAAGAAGCCCCUGGAGCUGCUGCCAUCCUGCUCAGUGCAGCAGAGCCAGCCCAGAGCAUGACCAGGGGUGUUUGUGGUAACAACUCUGCCUCGCCCCUGCCCGUUGCAUGCACUCCCAUGGGGUGGCCUUGAUAAGCUGGGCUGCUUUCUGCCAAAAAGCAACAGUUAGAAAAGAGCAAUACAGAGCACAGAGGCAACAUUUCCCUCUUACAUCCUAAGGCUGAAGUGACUUUAAGGCUAACAGGGAGCUGCUGGUUGCCAUGUACUGUUCAGACUCUAUGGGAACACAUCUACAGUUGCUUCAAUGUGUCUUGUCCUUUGGAUUUUUACAUGAUUCUUCCCAGUGUAAUAGCUUACUUCAGUCAAAUAAAACUUGGAGUGCAAGAAAAA